rnacentral:tRNA from 1 species
AUUCAAAUAGCUUAUAUUUAGAGCAUGACACUGAAGUUGUUAACGAGAUUUUUGUAAUCUUUGAAUA